AGUGAACGCUGGCGGUAGGCCUAACACAUGCAAGUCGAACGGCAGCACAGGAGAGCUUGCUCUCUGGGUGGCGAGUGGCGGACGGGUGAGGAAUACAUCGGAAUCUACUUUUUCGUGGGGGAUAACGUAGGGAAACUUACGCUAAUACCGCAUACGACCUACGGGUGAAAGCAGGGGACCUUCGGGCCUUGCGCGAUUGAAUGAGCCGAUGUCGGAUUAGCUAGUUGGCGGGGUAAAGGCCCACCAAGGCGACGAUCCGUAGCUGGUUUGAGAGGAUGAUCAGCCACACUGGAACUGAGACUCGGUCCAGACUCCUACGGGAGGCAGCAGUGGGGAAUAUUGGACAAUGGGCGCAAGCCUGAUCCAGCCAUACCGCGUGGGUGAAGAAGGCCUUCGGGUUGUAAAGCCCUUUUGUUGGGAAAGAAAUCCAGCUGGCUAAUACCCGGUUGGGAUGACGGUACCCAAAGAAUAAGCACCGGCUAACUUCGUGCCAGCAGCCGCGGUAA
rnacentral:rRNA from 1 species